rnacentral:snoRNA from 1 species
AUGGGACUUUAUCUCCAUUUCUGUGACGUGUAUAGAUUUGCAUUUAUACACCCCAGACAGCCGUGGUAAACGAAUCCCAUAUAUUGACGAAUUCCGAUUUAUUGGAAGGCUGGCCACAGAGUGGAUUGGUUGCGGAUGGUCAUAUGACUUUUCCUCUUUGUACAACUCCUCCAUUUUGAAGGCCAGAUACAUUC